rnacentral:rRNA from 1 species
GAUGAACGCUGGCGGCGUGCCUAAUACAUGCAAGUCGAGCGAACAGACGAGGAGCUUGCUCCUCUGACGUUAGCGGCGGACGGGUGAGUAACACGUGGAUAACCUACCUAUAAGACUGGGAUAACUUCGGGAAACCGGAGCUAAUACCGGAUAAUAUAUUGAACCGCAUGGUUCAAUAGUGAAAGACGGUUUUGCUGUCACUUAUAGAUGGAUCCGCGCCGCAUUAGCUAGUUGGUAAGGUAACGGCUUACCAAGGAGACGAUGCGUAGCCGACCGGAGAGGGUGAUCGGCCACACUGGAACUGAGACACGGUCCAGACUCCUACGGGAGGCAGCAGUAGGGAAUCUUCCGCAAUGGGCGAAGGCCUGACGGAGCAACGCCGCGUGAGUGAUGAAGGUCUUCGGAUCUUAAAACUCUGUUAUUAGGGAAGAACAAAUGUGUAAGUAACUAUGCACGUCUUGACGGUACCUAAUCAGAAAGCCACGGCUAACUACGUG